UCCGGGCCCUGGAAGGGGUCCCUCUUCCUGCCACAGGACUGGCCAAGAGCUUCCAUUUGCAGAGCUCUCGACAGCCUCCACCAGUCCUUACCAGGCUCCCAGUGUAAAGGAGACUUCCCAACAGACAAAUAAGAAGACCGUUAAGACGAUGACAUAGAACAAGGAUUCAGGGUGCUGAUGCUGGGGCUCCUGGGGCCCCACGGCAGCAGGAGAAGAGCCUGCUUGCUCCCCUGACACAGGCGAGUCUCUGAAACUGUGGAAGCCUCAGUCCUGCCCCAGGAACGCGGGCGCCAUGUGGCUCCUCAGCUCAUCCGCUCUGCAGCUUAAGUGAGAGGAUGCACACGGAACCCUUGGCGCUAUCAGGGAGCGUAGGAGACUCACAGCUCUUUUUUAUAGACCUGCCCUCCACUUCACACAGCUUUAUGCUGUUCCAGAAAAGUACUCAUCAUUUGCAGAUGCUCAAUGUUAAACAUAAAAAGGUUUUCUUCUCUCCUGCAAAUCACCGCGUUCAGCCCAAGCCCCGCUGUUCUUGACCUCACUCACUUUUCUGAAAACAAACCUUCCAGAUGCAUCCUGAGCGCUGGCU